UACAGAGGUCUCAAGCGUUGUUCGGAUUCAUUGGGCGUAAGGGGUGCGUAGGCGGCGCGGUAAGUCGGGUGUGAAAUCUCGGAGCUUAACUCCGAAACUGCAUUCGAUACUGCCGUGCUUGAGGACUGGAGAGGAGACUGGAAUUUACGGUGUAGCGGUGAAAUGCGUAGAUAUCGUAAGGAAGACCAGUGGCGAAGGCGGGUCUCUGGACAGUUCCUGACGCUGAGACACGAAGGCCAGGGGAGCAAACGGG
rnacentral:rRNA from 1 species